GGCCCGUGCCCCACACGCAGGCUGCUGCCGCGGGGUGCUGGGGGCCCCCUCGCUCCAGCCUGGUCCCCCCCGAACGGCCCGGCGGGAAGGAGGGAUGCUCCUGCCGUGGUGCCACACUGUGGCGAAGAGCUCUCCUCCCGCAGCCCCAGCGUGCCGUCCUUAAGCGGCCACGGAGAAGGGCACUGCCGGUCGAUGGGAUUUGGCCGGGUCCCCUCUGUGCUUGGGCAUCCCCGUGCGUGUCCAGCCUUGCUGCUGGGUACGUGACCCCAGCCUGUGCUGCAAGCCCCGCUCCCCGUUCCGGCCCAGCGAGGCACCUGCUUUUCUGGCCCAACCAGGCUCCCGCAGCCAGGUGGGGAAUCUGGGUGUGAUGGUAUGAGGACACGGUGCCCUUCCCUGAAGCUCCUGCCUGCUGACAGCUCAGUCUAGCUCUGCUCCUGGAGCCUGCCAGCACCCUCGAGAGUGGAGCAGGAGGUGGGAAGGGAGAAGUCGUGGCUGAGCAGGGCUGGAGAGGUGCAGCUCUGCAAGGACAUCCAUCUCCUGCCCUGCCCAGUCCCGAGCCAAAGGGGCUGAGUUAGUGUGUAGCAAAGGGACAAGGGCAUAAUAAGGGAUGCAGGGAGGUUUCACAGAGGCCAGAGGUGUUUUCCCUAACUCUGUGUUUGUUUGUGCUCAGGUCAGAGCCUUCCCAGCCCCAGAGAGGUGCUUGCUGCUGAGGAGCUGCUUACUUUGGCCUCAGCUGAGAGGCCUCAGCCCAGGGUAAAGCAGCCCCGAACACUGCCCUGUUUGUGCUUUGGGAAGGGGCGUUUGUGGCUGUCCUGUCACGGUGGGAGCAGGUGAAAGAGUUGAGAGUUGUUUUCACCCCAGCGUCUGCCACAGGGGAUUCUCCAGGCAGGAUCCCACCUCAUCCAGAUACGUGCAGAGCAGCAGGCAACCCCCACACUCCUGGUGUGCCUUUCUGGGGGGCCUCAGACUGAGCCACACCACAGUGACAUCUAAAAUGUGCCACCUCCCAGCCCCAUAUCCCUGUACUUCCUCAGCAGGGUAGGAGCAGCUGCUCACUCUGGGCAGGUACUCCAUGCAGAGGGCCAGCGGCUUCCAAGCCAGGAUGGAGCUGGACUCAGUUUUAGCUGCCCUACCUAAAAGCCCCCAGCCCCAUUCUUUGCACAGAGCUGUGUGUGCCUCCACAUGCACGAGCGGGUGCCCACAGGGACAGGGAGUUCUGCCAGCUCCUGUGAUUGCUGGCAUUGCCUGGAUGCCCAGGGCCUGGGAACUCGAUAUUUUGAACAAAAUGUCCUCCUCCUAAAGUCAUGGAGUAAAGCUGGGACACGCAAGAGGAAAUCUGUGAGGGCAGUAUGCCACUUCUGCUCCCCUGAGAAGUGCCACAGCCACCACGGAGGAGGGACACCUGUGGGCACUGUCAGGGCAAUGCUGUGCUCUCGCUGGGAGUGCUGACAGCAGGUUUGGUGUGACUUGGCCCUGGGGUCUUGUGCUCCGUGAUGCUCUGGGGACUGGGAGAAGCGGGCUGGGCUGGGGCACAAGGCUGCUUCCAUGUGAUCAGGUCCAUCUGGAAAUUCCAAUGGAAAGGGGAGAAAGAAUAUAGGGGAGGGGUACUCCUUGUGUCCCUUGUAGUUUCUGCUGUGGGCCACCCAAGUCCCCCUUGUAGGCAGGGAGGGUGGGAGCCUGCUCUGAUUGGGGACUGGCAGCACCCCUGAGCCGUGCUGGGCAAUGCCAGCCAUGGUGGCAGCAAAGCCAAGCCCUCCAGGAGCUGCCACAGCAGCAGCUGUAGCUCCCCAUGGGAUGCCCAGCCUCUGGACAAGGGGAUCACCCUGGCACUGGGUCUGUGCCCUUGGCAGUGCCAACCCAGUGCCAACACCCACAGGGUUCCUGGGGACCCCAAUGGGCUCUGGGGAGGAGCAGCUGCCACUGCUGUGCUGGCACUGGGUCCCCUGGGAGGGGACAGUGCGUGCUCAGCCACGUGUGAACGCACCGCCCACGGUGCAAAGGGCAGCUCAGCCCUGCCCAGGUGGCCCAGACUUUGCCUGCAGAUGAAUGACUCCUCUGCCUGCAAAACAGGCAGGACCCAGCACGGGACCCGCCACAUCACCAUCAGUCCCUGCUGGACAGAGGGGAACACGUGCUGUGGAGUCAUCCCUCACGUCAUCUCUCAGCCCUCCUGGGGCUAUGGGGCCAGCAGAGCUCUCCUGGCAGGGACAAGUAGGAGCUAAGGUCAAGGAUGCAAAAGCUGUUUGUGAGCGUCUUAAUUCCCACUCUGGGUUCCGUGACACAACACCUCCCUCGCCUCAUGAUUACAUUCCCAAGUGCCACUGGCCUCUGGAGAGGUGUAAGAUGGCGAGUGCUUUGAGCCCCUCUGCUGAAAUGCAGGAAUGAGGAGCUGGAUGCCAUGGCACUACAAGCAUUGGGUGUGCUGAGGACCGGUUGGCUUGGCUGUCCCCUGCCCUUUGCAAAGGGACCCCACUGGGGAUUUGUUUCGUGUCUGUUGGGCUCUGAAUGUUUGAAUGCACUGCUAAGGCUCUUUGGAAGGAAGGCUGGAAAAGGUGACAGGCUGGGACUGAUAUAGCUGGCACUGGUCUAGACCUCCACUGGAGAUAUCUGAAUAUCAAACCAUCCCAGGCACUGCACCCCCACUGCCAGCUUGGGGCUGCCUCCAGGUGUGUCUGAUUCUCUGGGGGGUGGAACCAUCACUUGUGCCACAGAAAUAGGCUUCAAGAUAACUAAACAGCACAGUCUGCUACGGGUUUGAGCCUGCCUGGGACUGUGAGGCUGCACAUGGAUUCUGCACCUCACCCUGUCCCUCGGGCAGGGCUCUUCCCCUGCAUCCCUCUCAUGUCGCUCCACAGGGUGACACAGCACAGUUAUGGGCCCUCCGGCUUUGGUUCUCUGCCAGGAGAUCCCCCAGCCUCCCCCUCUGACCCUGGAGCUGAACCCUCCCUCCCCAGGAAUGCUGUUCAGGGGGAGAGGUUGGCGCAAUUCCAGCUGCUGAGUUUUUCCAUGUCCAGAGAUCGUCUCCUGCCUUAAAUGGCCCCACGAUACAGGCUGUGUCUGCUCUCCUGCAAUCACCUAUUUAAGGAUUUUUUGGAUUUAGUCCCCAGCACAGAGUGGGACAAUCCUAGCCCAGUGCCUUGCAGAUGAUCUGAGCUCUAUGGUGGGAUACUGGAGCAGACAGGGCUGGUUGCCCUGGGGUACCCUGCAGGAGCGUGCCUGGACACGAGCAGUGCAGUGCUGCUCCAGCUCUCCCAAGCCUCCUCUUUCCUUGUGUGCAGGCCAGAUUCCCUGGGCCCAGGUCUGUGUUCCAGUCCCAGGGAAACCUCCCAGGAGUGUGUGAGCCAGGAGGUGCAUGCCCUGUGCAGCGAUGUCCUUGCUGUGGGCAGCCCGAGACACCGAGGGAUGCUCCCAGAGCCCUCCGGCACAGCUCCUGCUCAGGCCUCACUGCCCUGACCCCUGAGCCCUCCUGUCCUCCACAGCAUCUGCCACCCCCAGGAAACCUUCCUGCAAGCUCAGGCUGGACAGAAUGGGAACACCAGAAGCUCCUGGUGGGGAUGUCACUGGUAUCACUGUCCAAGCUCCCUGUCCCAUGGAGAGGAUCCUGCCCCAGGGUGCAAGCUGGAAAUUUGCUGCAGACCCCAUAGAUGCAUCCCUGGGUGGACGGCCCCUGCUCAGGACAGAGAGGACCUAAAUGCUGGUGAGUUGCCAUUUUCCCUUGUGGCAGCAUCUGAGGGACAAGGGACGAGGUGAGCAAGGCUUGGGAGCUCACAAGGGAGAACAAGGACAAUGGGAAGGAGCAGCCAGAGAAGGGGAACUUGUACCCUCCCAGACAACAAGCUGAGAUGAGGAAGUGCAAAGGCUGCUGGAGAAACCCAGUGAUGCUGCUCAGGGCUGGGCAGAGCAGUCCAGGAAAUUGGGAUCGGGUCUGAGGAGCCCAGGCUGGACUGGAAUCUGCCAGGGCAAGGUUUAGGAUUCACUGAGCAGAGGGAGAAGGAUGUGAAGACUGCUGCAGAACUUGUUUGAGGACCUGGGGUGGGAGGCACACGCUUGCAGGGGCGUGACCUCUGGAAGUCACAGCAUGUGGGGCAGCUGUGAAACUGAACUCCCUCAGUCCUGGCAUUUCCCAACAGUCAGCAUGGAUCAGAGAAGCCCCAUGGCAAAACACCCUCCCCACUGCCCACUCUGGGCUCUGGGGAGAGGCACAAGCCAGCCCAGCCAGGGCCCUGCCCAGCUCCAGAGCAGGGGCCUGUUCUGUAGGGGAACUCCAUGAAGGCCAAGGUAUCACCCAGAAAAGAUGCUUUUGUUUUCUAAUCUGCUUUAAAAAAGUUUCCCAGCCCUAGGAAACUGGACAUCAGCAGUGUGCUCUGCCAGCUGCAGGGUGCUCCAAGGUGGGCCAAGUCCAACCUUCAUCUGCCCAGGUAAGCUCAGCUCAGCCCUCAGCUGUAGGUGGCACAUCCCUAAGGCAAAGACACUGGGAGAAAACCAAACCAAACCAUUGCCUGUGGGACCCGAGCAUGGGUUGGCAUGGAAGCUGAAAGGUGAAAAAUUCCAAGAUUCAGGAGUGAGGAGGGUCUUGCAAAAGCAACGUAGCACUGGGGAGAGCUGGUGACCAGGGUGGUUGUGGCUGGAGCUACACACCAGCUCCCCUGUCUCUCCAUCACCCUGAACCUCAUAUGGCAGCCACUUCCUUCCCCUUGCAGCUCUGGGACACACAGCAAGAGAUGUGAAGGGACCUGGAGUUUCUUAAUGGGGUUUUACUGUCUGCCCAGGGAAUAUUUUUGUUCUGUAAAUGAGGAGGGCAAUGGGGGAUGAAACACUUUUACAGGAAGUGUGGCUGGGGCAAAAUUUAGUGUGCACAGGUCAAAAAGAGGUCGUAGCUUCAGCCUGGUGCACUGUGAGAGGAUCCUCCUCUCUGUGCUCACCUUCCCAUUUGCCUGGUAAAGAAGCCUUUGUUCAAACCCUAACCCUCAGCCUGGAAACACAGUGAUUUCACAGGAGAGAUUCACCCAGGAGCCCUUCCUGCCCUCUUCCCGUGAGCCUCCAAGCAGGAGCCCAUGUGGUUGGGAAGAGCAGUGUGAUGUCAGGGCUGAGCACUUCUGCCUGCAACAUGAGCUUGUCCUACUCUGGAACACAGGGAAGGAGAGUCCCGGGGCCCAGCCCUGCGAGACGUGCAUGUUCCCUUGGGAACAUGUGGGUCCCUCAGGAGCAACAUUCCUGCUACCAGCCACCUUUGCACUCAUCUCCCUGUUUUUAAAUAUCUGCCAGGGAGGGGAUGGAGCCAGAUGGGAAUUUAGUUUCUUUUAGUAUCUGGGAGAAAGGGGAAGGGAAACAGCUGAGCCCGUGGCAUUCUAUGUGUGCCUGGCUGGUCUUCUCAUCUCUCAUCCCCACCACUUGGGUCUGGUGGAGGUGCUGCUGCUCCUGCACAGGCUGUGCCGCCCUCCCGGCACAUUCCUGGCACUGCUGACCUGUGGGAUCACCUGCUUUGGCUUUGGUUUGAACGUGGCCAUGGAGGGAACCCAGCACUGGAUUGCACCGGGUGCUUUCCCAGCCCUCGGGUGAGAGGGUGAAGAGGGCAGGGGAAGCUUCAGCCCACGCUGUCCUCCCAGAAAUGAGGGCCAAAAAAAGCUUUACACCUCCACCACGAAGUUUUGCCCUUUCUCAGUUUCUGCAGUGAAAUUUGCUUUUUCUUUUCCCCAGGGGGCUCACACGGCAGCUGUCGGGAAGAACCCAGGAGGACCAAGGCACCCACCACCUUUGCUCACCCCACUGCCAGCCCCUGGUCCCACACCACAUUUCCAUCCUGUGACCAAGAGUUAACUUUGCUUGUCUGUGUCUCAGCAGCCAGGAGCGUUUGGACUUUCCCUGUUCCACCAGCCCUGUCAGAUGGCAAGAGAAGCUCCUCAGCUGCCGACCACGUUUGUCUUCUCCAGCAGGCAGAGACACCAGGCCUGGUGUCACAGCACUGAGCUGAGAUGCUGCUGAAGGUUGUACCAGGACAGCUGCCAGCCGGGCUAGGAGAAGGUUUGGACUUUGAGCGUUUGAGCCGCUGAAGAGGGGGCUCAGAGCCAGGUGGAGGAGACCUGGGCCUGGCUGUGCCCCCCACGAGCCACGCAAGGGGCUGUCCCAGCUGGUCCUGGCUGUGACUCCAUCCAAGCUUUUGGGAGCUGUGGCGCUGUGCCACCUGUGCCAGAUUUCAAGGCUCUUCCAGGCGGGAUUUGGGCUGGCAGGAGAUCUGAGCGGUCUCUCCCGCACCGGGUCACACGGCCCCUGCUGGAUGUCACCGUGUCCCGCCGUCCCUCCCUGCCAAGAGCUGCCCAGACGCUCCUCGGCGCCGGCCCACGUUAAUUAACCCUAACGAGGCUCCGUGCACGGCCAGCGCUUCGGUGAUCCGGGAAUCUGCAGCUGGAGCAGCUGGUCACUGCGACCGCGGUCACAGCCCGGCACGGCGCCCUCGGGAUUCAGAGGAAUGUGGGAGCGGGAAUGCAGGGGCAUGUCCGGGACCCACAUCGGGGACCGCAGAGCCUCAGCCCACGCAUCAGAGACAGUUUGCUGAGUGAUGAAAGAGCAAUUAUCAACUCAGCUGGAGGCAGAGUUGCUCCUGUUUGAUUUUCCAAGGAGAACUAUUCCAACCCCUUUCCCCCCCCACUCCCAGCUUGUUUCCUUUAAGUGAGAACUGCAGAAGAAAUAAAAGAAAUGGAGAAUUUUUUUAAAGUUUUAUGCUGGUUUGCUGGAUUGUCUCCUGCAAGUGGUUAACAGUUCAUCUAAAGUCAGAGAAAGGUCUCUGAAGCAAUCUUGCAAUUUACAACUUUUCCUUUACCAGGUAAGAAACAGUCAGGAAAUUAAACAGGAAAUUGUGUCUGGAAGGGACAAAAGUUGCGUUGUCAGAACCUGCUUACAAAAGAUUUACCUUAUUUUAACCAGUAAGGAGCCAAGAUCAAUAGUCAGAAUAGGAAGGAGUUUGUGUGAAUUAAAUCACUCGUGGAAAAAAAAA